UAUUGGAAUUUAUUGUUUUUCUAUUUAAUUUCCUGGCUUUCCUGUUUAGUUUCUUUCCAUCUGGGUCAACAAGAUGCUUUUCAAGCACAAAUAGCAGCUCUAAGAAGAAACCAAAGCAGAUCAUUUUCAUCUCUAUAUCAAUUACCAGAAUAAUUCUUGUAAGCCUAUUCAUGACCUUGUACAUGCUGAAGAAGAGGGAGAAGCAGCUAAAGAGAAAAGGGAGCAAGGGAAUGUCCUGACUUGAUUUGAUAAAGGAUGAAUUGAUCGAGGCUUGGAAAUGGGUCAAGUUCAGGUUUUCUGUGUAUACAAUUGAUGUAUGGUAUAAUUCUUCAUCCCAUUCCCCCUUUUGCAGGAAAUAUGGAACACGAUUCAGGAGGUGAGACUAAUGAAAGCCAGGAGCAUCUAGAGUUACUAUCAUUUGACUGGCCACAUUAUUGAAUGCCACCAAUAAAUUUUCAAUCAACAUUAAGCAUGGAGAGGGUAGUUUUGGAUCUGUCUACAAGGGGCUAGUGCAAGAGGGACAAGAAAUAGCUGUGAAGAGGCUGUCUAAAAAUUCUAGACAAGGAUUGAAUGAGUUCAAAAAUGAAGUUGGAUCCAUUGCAGACCUUCCGCAGUCGAAAAUUUUGUAAAGCUUCUUGGAUGCUGAUCUAUGAGUACAUGCCCAACAAAAUCUUGGAUCUGUUCAUUUCUGGUUUGGCUCUCUAAAACCCCUAUACGUUUUGCUUGAUUAGUCGAGUGACUUCUCUUUUGUUUCUCUUUUCUCUUAUGCAUGCUAGGGAAAUUCUUUAUUUACAAUGGAUUUGACCAAAUCCUAAGAAAAAUUG